UUUUCCCGAACACCCUGGAGCGGAAACGGAAAAGACAGUUUUUGCCGUCCUGACACUGAAAACGUGAAGCGGCUCCCGAGGCGGUAAACCAUCAGCUCUGCAUAUCUGAGCUCAAACUGCUGUCAGAAAGUUGGCGCUGUGGUAGUUUGCAUUGCGGCUGUCGCUACAUUGACUAUCUGUCAUAUUCAUGCUGAAGGGAUUCACCAGCAGCCGCUGACUGUGGCCUUCCAGGCUCUGAAUAAAGCAGAGGAGGAACGGACCGCGGGCCCUCCAGCCGAUUUAAAUCUGCAGGGAAACUAAAAAAAACACAAGAGGAGGGAACCGGCAAAACAUCUUCAACACCAGCAAGACAAAUAUCAGCCGGGCGUCGCGACACGCCUGGAAUUGGACCAGUUUGUCAUGCACACCACGAGGGCACACAUUCAGGACCCGAUUCAAACUUCACUGCCUGCGAGCUGCAGACCAGGUUCUGCUUAAUACCACAGAGGAAACGGAGAAUAAACUGAUGUUGGCCUGGAAGCUCUCAGUUCAUCUCUGGACAGAACAAAUACAGAGUAAAGAGAUUAUCCAGGUUAAAAUGCACAAACCAAAGUUUCAUGUCUUUAAUUGUUUAUAAUGAACAUUUGCAUAGAAAU